ensembl:lncRNA
AUGUGUGCUUCAAUUGUUGCAAACCUGCAGGGAAGUGGUGCUUCUGGUUCCACAGUUUCAUCGAUUAUAUGUGAUCUUGAAGAGUUUACCACUGAGUUACAUUUACAAAUGAAGCAGGAUGGUGUUAGACCAGACUCCCCUGAACCUUUUAAAAAGAGUUUUGAAAAUCCGUUCACCAGUUUUAAUUCUGAAGCUAAACGAGCAAAGUUUUUCAGUGAAAGAUGGGGAAUUGUUCAACCAUUAGAAAUAGUUCUUGGUGUUAGGUAUGACAAUAGACGAAACAAAAGAACAGGCACCUAUGACCAGGUUCCAGUUAAAGAGACUUUUGUGUACAUCCCCAUUUUGGAUAGUCUAAAAUUUAUAUUUCGCAACACAGAUAUUUGUAAGCAUUUUAAAUUGGGGUUUGACAUCAGUCCUGAUGUAUACAAAGACUUUAGUGAUGGAAGUUACUGCAGAGGCCACCCAUUGUUUUCAAAACACAGUUCCUUACAGAUCCAACUGUAUUACGAUGAUUUCGAGACGUGCAAUCCCCUGGGGUCAAAACAUGGGAUUCACAAGAUCGGCUGUCUAUAUUUUAUUCUGAGAAAUCUUCCACCUAAGUUCAACUCUGCUGUACUGAACAUCCACUUAGUUUCUCUCUUUCACUCUCAAGAUGUUAAAAAAUAUGGAUUUGAUGCCAUUUUAGCUCCUUUGAUAAAUGAUGUUAAAAUUCUUGAGAAUGAGGGGAUUUAUUUGCCCAUUUCUUCUGAAAAGGUUUAUGGUUCAAUUUGUCAGGUAGUAGGAGAUAACUUGGCAAUGCAUGCUCUUCUUGGUUUUACUGAGUCUUUUAACAGUAAUUACUUUUGUCGCUUGUGUCUAACUGAAAAAUCUGAUGCCCAGAAUGUUUAUAGUGAGGAUGACCCAAGGGUAGUGGUCCGUGAUAAAGCCAGCUUUGAGAUGCACUGCAGGGAAAUUCAGUCAGAUACACAGUUGAACUCUGUAUAUGGGGUUAAAAGAGACUCUUCGUUGAACACUUUACAGUAUUUUCAUGUUUGUUCCAAUUAUUCCUUUGAUAUAAUGCAUGACAUACUAGAGGGUGUUGCUCAGUAUGAGUUGAAACUUUUAUUUGGAUACAUGACUGAAAAUUUUAUAUCAAAAAAUGAUCUUCUUUUAAGGAUUUAUUCUUUUGACUUUGGUUACACAGAGCGCAGAAACCGCCCAACAAAUGUCAACUUGGAGCAUGGUGGAAAUUCCAUUGGAUUGAAUUCUAUACAGACACUCUGUUUGGUGCGAAACACACCCUUACUUUUUGGUGACCUUGUGCCUCCAGAAAAUCCAAACUGGAACUUGUUGCUCAUCUUGCUGCACAUUAUUAAUAUUGUCUUUUCGCCUGUUGUUACUUAUGGCAUGACUGUUUUUUUGAAACACUUGAUCAGCGAGCAUCAUCAACUUUUCAAAUUGGUGUACCCUCAGAAAAAGUUAAUACCAAAGCACCAUUUUAUGGUUCAUUAUCCUUCGUGCAUAAGGAAAAUAGGACCUCUUUUGCACUCUUGGAGCAUGAGAUUUGAAGCCAAAAACAAACUUUUCAAAAACAUGCUAAAAAGUUUUAAGAACAUCACAAAGUCGCUUGCGAAAAAACAUCAAAUGGCAAUAGGAAACCACUGGGAAACGCUCAGUUUACAGCAGAAAGAAUUUGGAACAAUGAACUAUUUCUCUCUAACUGACUAUGAAAAUGGUGAAGACUUGGCCAAUGCUUUGCAAAUCACAGUAAAGACAGACAUUCACUCUACCAGUUGGACUAAACUUGAUGGCACUGAAUAUAGACCUGGUCUUGCUAUAUGCACAGAGACAAAACAUGAGCUGCCAGUAUUCUGUAAAAUUUCCAACAUUCUUGUGUUGGGUGAAAAUCUUUAUUUUGUGGUUGAAAAACUUGUUACAGAGCUCUUCAGUGAGCAUUGUUAUGCAUUCAGAGUUGUUGAUGGAAAUGAGUUUGAUGCUGUUGUGAAAGCUGAUGAUCUUAAGCAUUAUAAACCCUAUAAUAUUCAAAAUUCAUAUGGACCAAAUGAGGAUACAUAUGUUGUGCCUUUUCAUUGUUUUGUUUAG